rnacentral:rRNA from 1 species
GAUGAACGCUGGCGGCGUGCCUAAUACAUGCAAGUCGAGCGAACAGACGAGGAGCUUGCUCGUCUGACGAUAGCGGCGGGCGGGUGAGUAACACGGGGAUAACCUACCUAUAAGACGGGGAUAACUGCGGGAAACCGGAGCAAAUACGGUAGAAUAUAUGGAACGGCAUGGUUGAAGAAUGAAAGACGGGUUUGCGGUGACUUAGAGAUGUAUCAGCGCGGCAUUAGCUAGUUGGUAAGGUAACGGCUUACCAAGGCAACGAUGCGUAGCCGACCUGAGAGGGUGAGCGGCCACACUGGAACUGAGACACGGUCCAGACUCCUACGGGAGGCAGCAGUAGGGAAUCUUGCGCAAUGGGCGAAAGCCUGACGGAGCAACGCCGCGUGAGUGAUGAAGGUCUUCGGAUCGUAAAACUCUGUUAUUAGGGAAGAACAAAUGUGUAAGUACCUAUGCACGUCUUGACGGUACCUAAUCAGAAAGCCCCGGCUAACUACGUG